UACGUAGGGUGCAAGCGUUAAUCGGAAUUACUGGGCGUAAAGCGUGCGUAGGCGGUGAUGUAAGACAGAUGUGAAAUCCCCGGGCUCAACCUGGGAACUGCAUUUGUGACUGCAUCGCUGGAGUGCGGCAGAGGGGGAUGGAAUUCCGCGUGUAGCAGUGAAAUGCGUAGAUAUGCGGAGGAACACCGAUGGCGAAGGCAAUCCCCUGGGCCUGCACUGACGCUCAUGCACGAAAGCGUGGGGAGCAAACAGG
rnacentral:rRNA from 1 species